rnacentral:misc_RNA from 1 species
UCUCCGUUGGUGAACCAGCGGAGGGAUCAUUACUGAGUUGCAAAACUCCCAAACCCAAUGUGAACUUACCACCGUUGCUUCGGCGGAUGCGCCCCGGGCGCGCCCUCACGGGCGUGCCCCGGAACCAGGCGCCCGCCGGGGGACCGAAACUCUUGUCUUCUUUGAGGAUCUCUGAGUGUGAUUUACAAAAUCAAAUCAAAACUUUCAACAACGUAUCUCUUGGCUCUGGCAUCGAUGAAGAACGCAGC